CUCUUCGCCGUGUUAACCAGGCCAUCUAUCUUCUUACAACUGGUGCCCGUGAAGCUGCAUUUAGGAACAUUAAGACUAUUGCUGAAUGCUUAGCUGAUGAACUUAUUAAUGCUGCCAAAGGUUCAUCCAACAGGUAUACCAUUAAUACAAUUUAGAUUUGUUCUCAAUUAUUUAAGUCUAGUUCUUUGCUGACAAAAUGUUAAAAUUUUCAGCUAUGCAAUCAAGAAAAAGGAUGAGAUUGAGAGAGUUGCCAAGGCUAAUCGUUAAGCAGAAUUUGAAAGUAGUCUUAGUGAUGAGGAAUAUUUUAUAUUGGUCUUUGUAUUACAUUUGUUUGAAAUUGUUGUUUUAAAACAUGGUGUAAACCUUUUGCCGGUUUAUUUUUCACAUUUUUGUUGAAUCAACUUGUUGUGAACAAUUUUGCUGUUAGUCUAUAACUGUUUUCAAGGAUCUUUAUGAUUUCUUAUUACACCAUUUAUUGUUUUUCCAAUUUCAAAUCUUUGUGAUACCCAUUAUCUGUUCUGAAAUACUUGAAUUGGAAGAAAAUUCUUAUUGAUGGAAAUAGAGUUGGAUCACGUCGUAGAUAAUGCUUAUUGAUGGAAAUAGAGUUGGAUCACGUUGUAAAUAUCUCUCGUUUUUCAAUGUGAUUACCAAACUUAUGAAAACAUGAUUAGAUGUGUGUUUGUUAUUGCUGUGUUUCUUUGUUCAUUGAAUGUGUUUUCUAUUAUUUAUCAAAUUAUUAAUCAAUUUAAUCAUCCCAUUAUUAGGAAAAAAGUGUUCGGUAAGAUUAAGUAGCAGAGUUUGAUUAACUUCAAAGAAAAUUUGAGAUAAUAGUUGUGAAAUGAGAACCCUGUAGAGGGGACUAACAUCUGAGUUCUGAAGUAAGGACCAAAAUCUCAAUUUUUAGAAAAAAAACUGUUGUGUAAGUAGGACUGGAUGUGAUUAAAUUCAAAGAAAAUUUGAGAUGAAAUAGAGAAAUGCGAUAAUUGUAGAUGGAGACCAUAGAUAUUAGUAUGUUAGAUAUCAUGAUGGGAUUUGUUAAAAUCAAUAUAGCGUUGUAAUUUUGAUACUCACCGUAAAUCCAAAUUAAUUGGCAUUUAUUGGCCGAAGAAAAACCGUCAAUAAAAAAAUAUUUUUUUUGCAUGUAGAAUAAGAUUAUUAUUAUGAAGUGGUAGGGGUGGACAAUUGGCGGGUUGGUGGUUUUGGGUCCAAAAAUCUCACCCAAACAAUCCAUAGUUGAGCCAUACAAGUCCAUUUCUGCCCAAUUUUUAUCGGUUUAAUAUAAUCGUUUUAAUCAAUUUAUUGAGAUAUUUUUAGUUGAGUUCAAUAACACAUGUUGAUCUAUAAAUUACUAUAAUUUAAAUCUAAAUGGCCAAAACUUAAAUCUAAUUACCUAUAAAAACAUAUAGGUAAAGGGCCACAUAACACUCAAAAUGACGUUUUCACAGAACAAGAAUGCGAAGAAAAUCAAGGUUAAAUAUCUCGUAGUAGACGCCCGUUUGCCAUACAUCAAGUAAAUCCAUACUGAACUUGUUAAGAGCCGCUUUGUCAACCUUGAAAUUGAGCAUGCAAUAUUAACUACAUAAAAGGCGGGUGGGUUGGGGUAGUUCAGGUGGAUCAAGAAACCGCCCAGGAAUGUUACCAUAUCAGUCUCAAAAUAAGAAGAGUAUAUGUAGUUGCAACUGCCAUUCAACAACAAUACAUGUAAUUGAUGAAUGUUGUAAAUUUAUAUCCCAUGAUAGAGCCAAAGAAGAAAAGUCUAACUCCUAUAGAGGAUCUAAAGGAGGUCCAAAUUGAGCCAUUUGAUUUUCAUGUCACCAAACUAGGAACCUCCCCAUCUAAAGCAGAAGAAAUGGAAUUUGUUGCCUUACUUAGGAGGAACGUCGAUAUGUUCGCCUGGACACCCGACGAAAUCAUAGGUAUAUACGUCAGAGUAGUCUAUCAACGCCUCACCGUCGAAUCUACGGUGAACCCAUGUCUUAGAGAAAGCAUAAAGUCGACAAGGAGAAACAUGUAACAAAUGAUGAGGAGGUCGAGAAGUUAAGGAGUGCAUGCUUCAUAACCAAGAUCAAAUCCAACUUGGUUAGCCAACAUGGUCCUGGUACAAAAGUCACCAAACAAACAUAUAAUGUUUGUCGAUUUCACCAACCUGAAUGUAGAGUGUCACAAGGAUCCCUAUCCAUAGCCUAACAUUGAUAUGAUGAUUGACUGGUCCUUAGGCUAUAAGACUUCGAACUUCAUGAAUGCUUACUGUGGAUACAAUCAAAUAAAUUAUGGAUCCUCUAGACACGCCCAAGAAGAUGUUCAUGUCCAACCAUGGUAAUUACUACUACAAUAUCAUGCCUUUUAUGCUAAAGAACGCAUACACCACUUACCAGAGGCUAAUGGAUGCAAUAUUUUGAGAGUAGAUAGGGAAGAACCUUGAGGUUCAUAUCGAUGAUAUGAUCGUAAGUACUUUAAAGGAGAAAAGCUAGGAAGACAUAUUGAAGUCAAUCAGAAGGUUUAACAUGUUCAUGAACCUUUCAAAGUGUUCUUUUGGUGUUCAAGCCAACAAGUUCUUGAGAUUCAUGCUAACUAGAAAGGAAAUUGAGGCGAACUCUGACAAGUUCCAAACCAUCAUCAACAUGAGGAGUCAUUCCAGCGUCAAAGAGGUUUAACAACUAUCAGAUCACCUAGCCACACUAACCCAUUUUCUUUCCUUACCAGGUGUCAAAACAAUCAAUUUCUUCGCCAUUUUGGGAAAAAAAGGAGAAGGUCAAAUGGACAAGCAAGUGCGAGGAUGCGUUCACUAAACUAAAGAUCUUUUUGGCAACACCACUCAUAUUGACGUGCCCAGAAGCAUACACACCCCUCUAUUUGUACAUAUUAGUCACCAAUCAGGCAAUGAGCUCCUUACUCGUCCAUGCGAAUGAAAAAACUAAAAAAACCAUUCUAUAUUAUGAACAAGGUAUUCAAAGGAGCUAAGGCGAGGUACAAAAAAAAUCGAGAGACUGACCUUAGAGGUCUUGAUAAUUGCAAGAAAACUCAUAUUGUAUUUCAAAGUGCACCGCAUAAUGGUCAAAACCAAUUAUCCCAUUCGCCAAGUCUUGAAGAAGUUUAACCUCUCAGAAAGAAUAAUGUCUUAGUCAGUUGAGCUAUUAGAGUAUGUUAUCCAAUACAUACCCAUGGGAAUAAUCAAAUCAUAAGUCAGUAGGUUUCUUGAUAAAGUUCAGUUCACCAAUGGGCGAUGAGGAUCUCACACUAUCAAUGGUUGAGGCUUCAAACCUAAAAGGUACUGAUAUCAGAAUAAUGCUAGAUGGUCUAAGCAACCUCUUUAUAUAUUUUAUGUUUAUUUUAUUUACUUAUUAUUUUUUUAUUUCUUUUCAUUUUUUAUCUAUUAUUAGUUAAAUGUUUAAUUGAUAAUUGUCAUUAAAAUAAAACUAAAAACCAUUAAAAUCAAUCUUAAAAAAAACAAACACUUUAUCAACAUCAAAUGAUUUUCAGAACCAUCUCAUCAGUUCUCCAUCAAUUCAAAACUGUUUCAUAAUCAAAUUAUUUCAUGCAAAUACGAAUCAAACACUUGAUCAACAUCAAGUAAUUUCAAAUUUAAUUAACUUCAAAUAUAUUUUUUCUUAAUAAUCAUAUGAAAAAGGAUUAGUUUGACGUAUGACUCUAUUUUCCCCGAAUAUUUGGAUACAAGUCGUAUAGCUUGACAGUUAAAUAUUCUUCAUUCGCUCAAAACUUAAUAACUCGACCAAAUUCAACUCGUCCCAUUCACGGAUGAAAAAUGACUAAUUUGGUGCAUGCCUCUUUUUUCCUAAGUACUUGGAUACAAGCCGUAUAACUUAACCGUUCGAGUGUUCACCAUCGUUAAGGAAUAUUGACCCGGUUUGUACCAAACCACUUUUACCAUCAAAAACUUCAAAAUCCUUUUUCACAAAUAAAUCAGAUGAAGUAUUUGCCUUCCAUUCAAAAUACAAUAAUUAAUCGAAUUUGGUUCACUCUUUGGUGGAUGAAAAAGGACUAAUUUGACGUAUGCCUUUUUCCCCCCAGGAACUCGAAUUCGAAUACAAGCCGUAUAGCUUGACCAUUCAGAUGUUUGUCUUUCAUUAAGGGUUCACAACUCUAUCCGUCUUACAAAAUUUAUAAUAAAAUCGGAUGAAAAAGGAUUAAUUAAGCGUAUGUAUCUUUCAGAAUACAAGCCGUAUAGCUUGACCAUUCAGAUGUUUGUCUUUCAUUAAGGGUUCACAACUCUAUCCGUCUUACAAAAUUUAUAAUAAAAUCGGAUGAAAAAGGAUUAAUUAAGCGUAUGUAUCUUUCUUCCCCGAGUAUAUGGAUAUAAUCCAUACAACUUGGCCAUUUGAAUUCUUGUCGUCCACCUAAAAACAAUGCAACCAAUCAAACUCAUUUUUUGCCCUAGCACGAUUCAAAACUUUUCAUAAACAAAUGAUGUUUUAUCCAUUUAGACGUGAAGACCGAACAAACACUUGAAUCCUUCCAUGUGCGAGUAGUAAGCAAUGUUGUCUACUCUAAUGAGAUUAAAACACGAUCUACGAGACUCUGAAUCCUGUUUUAUCCAUUCCGACGUGAUGAACUCACAUCGUUCUCUACUUCCAUGUUUUGGGUAGCAAGUAAUAUUUUCCCGCUCGAAUACGACCUAAGCAUCCUUCCCUAAAAUCGACCAACACACAAACAUUUGCUACCCAUAACUACGUAGCUUUGAGUUUCCUAUCAUACUUGGGGAUAUGUAGGAGCGAGAUUCAACGUCUCGUCAAACACUAUAGUAAAAAAUUCAAAAAUAUAUUUUUCUUUCUAGAACUACAUAGCUUUGAAUUUCUCAUCGAACCUGAGGAUACAUAAGAGCAAGACUCGCAAUCUUGUCAAACACCCUAAUAAAUUAUUUUUUAGUCAUUUUCUUUUCCCUUUCAAACUUUUAAUAAUUAGAAGAAAACAAAUGCUAACACUCUUAUUCGUAAAGCUAACUAAAUGGUUCUUGUUGAGUACAACAGAUGUGAGAGAUGCUAAUAUCUUCCCCUCAUAUAACCGUCUCUCAAACCCAAUUUUGGUUGCGACGACCAUCUUGUUUUUCUUCAAGGGUUUUACCAACAUUUUUUCUUUCCUUUUGGAAUAAAUAAACUUUGGUGGCGACUUUGUUUGUUAUUUCGAACGCUCGUACGCUUGGGUAUUUUCGCGCCGUGGCACCUAAAAAGUUUGCAUUUUUAGUAACAAACAUACAAUUACUCGUACCUUAUGAUUGAAGAUGAAUGAAGUUCUUAUUCCUCCUUGUAUUCAGCUGAAACAAGAUUCGAUGACCUAAACAAGCUUUGUCAUCUAUGAAGGUUCCGUUUCAAAUGGGUUUCGUCUCUUCUCUUCAGGUUUCAAGUUCUAGGGUUUCAUUUAAGUAAAGAGUGAAAAUGAAAUACUAAAAUAUAAUCGUUUUAGCUUGCACUAUUUUUAAUUUGAAAAUUUUAAAUCAAUAUGCAAUACAAUAAUUCCAUGUCAGCUAAUAAACAUCAAGAUGGAGUGCUACACAUGCACAAAUUACGGAAAGUUUACAAAAUUUAACAAACAUGACUAAUGUGACUAACAUAAUUACAUUUAAAGGAUUUAAAAAAAUGUUUAUUAAAUAAAAGAUUAGAUAAAACUUGAAAUUAAGAUAAGAGACUAAAAUAUGAAUUAAACAUAUUAUUUUAACAUAUUUUUUUAACAUAAGAGAAGUUAGCAACAUUCAUAAAAUAAACUAUAUCACUUAAUGUUGUAUUAAGAUUUAGGUAGAAAUAGUUAGGAUAAAAAAAGAAAUAAAUUUAAAUAAUUUAUUUUUUUUAAAACUAGUGGGAUCUAUUAUGUAAUAUUGGACGAGAAAGUGUUGAUUUAAAAAGAUAAUAAAAAAAUGUUGUUGUAAUAGAAUAAAGAUUUAAGAUAAAUUGGUUAGUGGUAUAAAUGAAAAUAUAAAAUUUAAAAAUAUAGAAGAAGAUUAAUGGAUAGGUAACAUUAAAAACAUUAAAGAAAAAUAUUUUUUAUUUAAUAAUGUAUUAAAUGCUGAAAGAUGGUAUAAAGUAGUAGAUGAGAGAAAUAUGUAUAUUAAAAAAAAGCUAGCGUGUGAAAUUGGAGAAAGAGAAAGUUUAAGUGACAUGGGUAAAUGAAGCAAUACAGUGGGCAAUAACUCAAUCAUAAAUAACAUAAGGGUAGUAAAAGCAGGUUAUUAGCAGACGCACUUGUGAGAACAAAAACGAAAGAUAAAGGGCCUGUUUGAAACACUUUUCAAUUUUAGUUCUUAAAAUUUGUUUUUCAAAUCUAUUUUAAAAAACUAUUUUUAAGAAGAAAAUUAACAAAAAAUUUGUUUGAUAAAGUAAUUUUUAAAAACUGUUUUAAAAUAUGAAAAUGAAAAAACUUAUUUGAUAAUCUAAUUUUUUAAUCACAUUACGUAUAAAUGAAAAUUAUAAUUUUUUAUGUUUUUUCUUCAAGUUUAUAAUACUAAAAACUAAAAAGUGAGAAGCAAAACACAACUAAACUGUUUCACUUUUUUACUUUUAAAAACUGAAAAAUAGAAAAGAGUUUUUAAAAACACUUUUGCAAAACAUUAUAUUCAAACAAGUUUUUAAAUUUUAAAUUUUCAAAAACUAAAAAAGAGUUUUUAAGAUGCAUUUCAAACAAGCCCAAAGAGUUUAACAAAUGAAAAUAGUGUGACAUGAAAUGAGUAAUGACAGUAGUAAUUUAAAUACAUUAUCAGAAAGGGAGUCAUGGAAGAAAUGACCAAAAAAGAGAUUUGAAUACAAAUAGUCGACCUAAGGGCAACAUCGGUUAAAAAAAAGUAGAUGGACAAAACAUUAAAUAAAUAGUUGUAUAAGGUGAUAAAGUGAAACCGCAAUGACACGUGGAUCAGCCUCUAAAAAUGAUCCUAUAACCAAAACAAAGAAGGGUAAGUAAAACGUACAACAGAAAAACAAAUGUAUGAUAAUAUGGGUAUCAAAUUAAUGUACAUAAUGAAUGCUAUAUGAAAGUUUGUUAUUAACUUUGCAAUAGGAGUAAAAUAAUUCAAAUGUAACUGUGUUUAAAAAUCACUAUAUAUAAAUUUAUAAAUUUACAUUACUUAAAGUUUAGGUUAUUAACGAAGAAAAAGUAAUUCGGAAAAAGGCAAAAUUUUGUAAGAUUGCGAAAAAGCAAAUUAACUAUUGAUUAUACGUUGUUGAGAACUUCCUUGUAGAUGACGUUAGCAGUGGAAGACUUAGGGUUGUUGUUUUCGUCGUGUGUCAAAAUUUUGAUUCUCUUUUUGCCUAUUAUCCUUGAAAUUGUGAUAUAUAGUUAGCCAUGACUAAAAAUAUCGUUUGGGAUAUAUAGUCCAAUCCAAUCCAAAGAUUCACCCUGAGAUUUGUUAAUCGUCAUUGCGUAUGGAUACAAUGAUUGAAAAUUGUCUCUUAUUUAAUUUGAACGACCAAGGUGAUUGGGACGAGGACAUAUCUAUUCGUGGUAUGUAGAUUAUUUUUCCAUGACCCUUCCCACCCAUAAUUUCAGCUUCAAGAACAUGAUUUGCAAUUUUUGUAACAAUCAGUGUUGUUUCGUUGCACAACAAACUUUCAGAUUGAUCGAUGUUUCUCAUAAACAUGAUUGAGGUCCAUAUCUUUAAUUUAAUGUGGUGGUUGGGCAACUCAUAAGUCCUUAGAGAGCUUAGGAAUUCAGGACCAAGGACUUCAAUAAUAUUGUUAUCAUGAAUUUCAGAUCUAUCAACUGAAUUAUAGCUAUAACAAUCUAUGGUUUGACAUAUAAUAAGAAAUGGUAUAAAUCAAUGAGAAAUCAAUAAAGAUGAAUUUGAUAGAGAUGAAAAAGAUUGGUAUGAAAGGAUGAAUUGUUAUGAAAAGUAUACCGGACAUCCUUUUAAGAAUAUGAUUAUUUAUCUUAUCAACAACUUUAAUGGUUGAUGCUAAAAUUGCGCGACUUUUCAAGUGGCCGUAAGAUUUAUAUUUAUCCAUGAAAGAAGGAUACAUACUUUCUACAACUGUAACAAUAGGGUCAUCAAAAUGUUAGAUUAAAAUCUCAGGGAGAAUGUCAAUAUCAGCAUAACCAUCAUUUGGUUCAGAUAUUCUAUCUUUAUCUAAUUUUAAAAGGCCAUUGGAAAAUUCAGCAAUAUCAUGCAUUUCUUGAUUACUUUGACCUCCUUGCAGCCACAUAUUUCGUGUUAACGUCAAGACUUCACAAGAAUCCAAAAUGUAAGAUGCAUUGAUGGUAGAGUGAGCGAUAUCAGAUCUACCCCCUUUAGGAAUAACAUGCAAAAUUUGUCUGAAAUCUCCACCAAAAACUUCAUCCAAAUUGCUAUAGUUACUCAUGACAUCCUUUAAAAUUUUAUCAAAAGCUUAAAAAAAAUUUGCUGGCCAUUAAUGCCUCAUCCCAAAUAAUCAUUUUGGUUUGGUGAAGUAGUUUGGCGUGGUCAUCAUCGAAGUCAAUCUUGCAAGUUAAAUUUUCCAUAGUUGGGACAUAUAUUUUAAGCUUAGAAUGAGCGGUCCUACCGCCAGGUAACAAUAGAGAUGCAAUUCCACUUGAUGCAACAGUUAAAACAAUUUAAUAUUAGAUCUCAAAGAAGUUGCACGUGUUUUCUACAUAUAUGUUUUACCGGUACCGCCAUAACCAUACAAGAAAAACACUCCUCCUUUUUUAUUGGUAACAACCAACAUGAUUUUGUCAUAGAUGUUGCGCUGCUUAACUAAAAAACAAUAACAUUCAACCAUAAAUAAAUAUAGCUUAAAGUGAAAUUAAAAAAUAAGAAGCAUUUGUAUAGAUUCAGAAACCUGUAAGAGCAUUGAAAAAAGCAUUGAACUCAGAUUUCAUGACAACGACAUCAUAACUUCUCUCUUCUUAGAUAAGUCGGUUUCCCAAUUGUUUAAGAAUAUAACCAUUUGGAUACGAAAUUGGUUUGAAAUCUGUAAGACUCCUCCAAUUUGCCUAAAGUAAAGUUUCUAUCUCAAUCAAUGUAAAAUUUUGUAAUUCCUUUUCUGUAACUUGCAACUCUGCAUUAAAAAAAGAAAGUGUUAGAUAAGUUCAUAAAGAUUGCUUAACAAAUGCAGUGUAGGUGUUAGUGUAAAUAGUAAUAAAACAAAAAAAAUUGGAGAAACCUGAAUUAUUUGCGACAUCUCUCUGUUUGUACAAAAUACCAUCUGAUAAAAAGAUCCAAGUUUGAUUCCAUACAUGGGCGGAUCUGUUUAUAGUUCCAGACAACAACAUAAUAACAAACAACUUUUUUAGAAAAUGUCUAGACCCUCGUUGACUUGAAUUUUAAUAGCUCCAAUGUAUUCCAUAUCAUCCUCAAGGAAACCCAUGACAAAACAUACUUCCCUAAAAGAGACAUACUAUUUCCCCUCCACUUUACGAAUGUCUUCAUAAGUUUUUGGUCAUUUUAUAACAAUGAGCAUCAUUCCUAGAUAAAAAAGUUCUUCGAUAGUAGGCGGAACCCAAAUCAAUCGGCCAAUGGUGAAACCUUUCUUACGUGGCUUCCAUGAUAUUUUCUUCUUUUAAUACACAAACUUGCUUACAAAUUGUACAUGUGUUAAAUGCUUAGCUUCUUUAAAUUGUCGAUUUGCAAUCAACCAUGAAGUGAACAUAGGUUCUGUUACACUUGUUUUUUCUAAGAUAUUUUCCAUCCUUUCGAAAUCAGUAUAGUAGACAACCUUCUCACCUAUAAGAUGGUAAACCAUACAUUCUACACCCGGUUUUCUUCCAUGAAUUUUGUAAGAAAAAAAUCCUCCAACAUGCCUCACUGGAUGAGACAUACCUACGGUCCAGGUAUUCCUUUAUUUCAUCAAUUCCGUCUUGGUCUUUAGAAGAUGAUCUCAAAGAAGGAACAACAAAUGUCGUGAUCCUGUCGUAUCCUUUGUGGAUAUGUUUGAAAAGGUACUUGAUUGAAGUACUUUGGUUACACCAUUCCAUAUUAAUGUCAGCUAAGAAAUGUCAAGCUGAAGUACCACACAUGCACAAAUAACUAGAAGUUAACAAAAUUUAACAAACAUGACUAAUAUGACAAGCUGAGAUGGAAUGAAAUGAUAUUCCAUUGUUUGGAUCAUUUAAAAUUUGAUGGAGCAGAGCGGGAUGGAGUGAUAUGGAUUCCAUUCCAUUCCAUCACUUGCCACCAUAUUUCUUUCCCUCCAAUUUGAGCGGAAUGAACAACUUGGCUUAUUCCAUUCUAAAAUUUUCAAACAAUAGAAUUGGACAUUCAUUCCGCUCCGUCCACUCCGCUCCACUUUAUUCCGCUCCGUUUAUUUUAUGAUAUCCAAACGUAGUCUUAAAAAAUUUAAAAAGAUUGUUUAUUAAAUAAAAGAUUAAAAUAAAACUUAAAAUUAAGAUAAGGGACAAAAAUGUGAAUUAAACGCAUUUGUUAAUAAAGAGAAGUUAACAUCCAUAAAAAAUAAACUACACUAAAAUUUAAUGGUGUAUUAAGAUUUAGGUAGCAAUAGUUAGGGUAAAAAAGGAAAUAAAUUUAAAUAAUUUAUUUUUUUGAAAAUUGACAAUUUGCAGUUUGGGAUUUCAAUCCGAACUCGAGAGAGAGUGAAAGAACAGAGAAGUAGAAAAUCGUUCUUCUACGGUAUUCGCGAGUCAAUUGUAGGUCACUCAGCAUUCCCAUUCACAAAACUGAAUCACAAACACCAUUCACAAACCGGUGAUUCCACUGAAGUUGUUGAAUGCGAAGACCAAGAAUCAUGAGACCGAAUAUCGUUUCUGAGGUAAUUUCCCGAUCUCGAAAAUCGCUUAUUGCUUCAUUCAUUGCUAUAUGAAUCAUCUCAAAGUUCGGAAGCUCUGAAUUCACAAUUCGCUUUUUCUUUUUCCACUCUUUGAUUCGCAAAUUCUAGUAACUCUAGUUUUAGAAUUGUUACAGAGAGAUUAUGAUUAAUUAAUUAUCUUUGAUAUGGUUUAAUUGGCACAGGCAGGGUUGUCUACUAGGUUGAAUCAGUAUUGGGAAAGCAUUCCAUUUGUCACUUCUGCAGUAGUUAUUAUCUGUGGAGCAAUUUACUUUGUUUGUCUCUUGGCUGGAUAUGAUUCCUUUGCUGAGAUUUGUUUCUUGCCCUCUGCUGUUGUAACCCAAUUUCAAGGUAUGUAUAUUUCGUUCUUCAAUAUGACACUAGAAACACGACACUGACAUUCGACAUCAGUAAUAAUUUUUAAAAAUGAAUAAAUUAAAAGUAAUCACAAGUGUCGGUGUCGGUUUUGGACACUCUUAAUGAUACAGACACAGAUUUUUUUUCCAGAGGUGUCGGUGCUACAGAGCAUUAGUGAUUGAAUACUUGUUUUAUUCAUGCAGUUUACAGGAUUUAUACUUCCCUUUUUUUCCACCUUUCGUUGCUUCAUGUUCUUUUCAACAUGAUGGCUUUUGUUCCUUUGGGAUCUGAGCUGGAGAGGAUCAUGGGAUCCGUUCGCUUGCUGUAUCUUACUUUUUUGUUGGCUACGAGCAGCGCUAUAUUCCAUGUUCUCAUAGCAUUGUUGGUGGAAUAUAAUCCUUUUGUUACGAAUGUUUACCUCAUGAAUGAGUGUGCUGUUGGGUUCUCAGGAGUUCUGUUUUCAAUGAUUGUUAUAGAGACAAGCCUGAGUGGAGUUCAAUCGCGGAGGUUGGUUAUAUAUAUAUAUAGCUGCUGUCUAGGAAUUUAUCACUACUGGAAAUAUGAAAUUUAAUAUACUAACAAACCAUGUUUUUCUGUAAGAGUAGUUGGUAGAAACCCCAAUUUGGAAGUUGUUCAAUAGGCUGAAUUAAUAAUAUCAUGAAAGAGUGGUAAAUGUUGAUUAUGUUCCAUAUAACUUUUAUUUUGUCCAUACAAAGCGGUGUCUUAGGCCCUUAUUAAAAGUAGGUUGAAGUUGUAUAGGAUCCACACCCAAAUCUGUCAAUUUUAUAGGGACCCAAUGCAUCUUUAAGCCUUUUGAGAUUGUUACCUUCACAAUGAGAAUUGAAUGAUGAUACAAAAGUAGUGUCUUAGGCCCUUACUAAAAACGGAUUGAAGUUUUAUAGGAUCAAUACCCAUAUUUGCAAAUUUUAUAGGGACCCAAUGCAUCUUUACGCCUUUUGAGAUUGUUAUCUUCACAAUGAGAAAUGAAUGAUGAUAGGCAUAUUAUCACAUUUACUGAGAUGAUUUUGCCUAGCAGUUCACUCUGCAAUGGUUUUAUUUGCUUAUUUUGCUGAGAAGAAACUAAACAUUUGACAGAUAUACAAUGUUAAGAAUUGUGAAUCUGCAAGGAGUUACUAACUUUUUUUGUAUUCAUUUUGCAGUGUGUUUGGGUUGUUUAAUGUGCCUGCCAAGUGGUGAGUAUAGUUUUGGGUUAAAUAUAUUUUUUGUUUAUGAAAAUAUGACAUUUUUUCUGUUUGUAUCUCUACUUAGAUUUUAUUUGUUUAUAGUUCCUGUAUUUAACAAAAACAAUGAGUUUUUAAUCCCUCGCCAUAGAGUUCGGGACUAAAAGAAUAUGCUUUGUUUUAUUUAAGGACUAGAAAUAAAUACAAUUUUAGUAUGUACACAAUCAAAUUUUGUUAUUUUUGUUGGGACAAAAAAAACAAAUUUAUUUUGUGUAGCUUUUAAGAAUAAUAUUUUAUCUAGAUAAGUCACUUCCGUGAUAAUUAGGCAUAUUAUGUUUUAGGUAUGCAUUUUUUUUGUUGGUAGUGUUCCAGCUCCUCAUGCAAAAUGUUUCCCUACUCGGACACCUUUCUGGCAUUGUAUCUGGGUUUGCUUGUAAGUUUAUUCUUCCCCGUUUUACUUUUCUUUUUCCAAUAACUUGAACCACUCACCUCUGAUAUUAUAAUGCAAUGCUUGUUGUUUCAGAUACAUAUGGUUUGUUUAAUUUCCUCAUACCCGGGGCAUCCUUUUAUUCUUCAAUUGAAGCCUCCUCCUGGCUUGUAAGUUUUUUUUCUUGAAUUGGCUUUUGUAACACACCAAGAUGGGAAAACUUACAGCUGCUACUUGCAUCUUGCAUGAUUUUAAGUCGAAUAUCUAAGGCACCAAUAAGGAUUCGUAUUUAUACUAGUAAGUAAAGAUAAACCCCAAUUACAAAUAGAGAACACUGCAUGAUUUCAAGGGUUUGUAAGUCACCUGCUCUAAGACCAUAUUUCACUUACAAAUGAGUAGCCGUCUCUCCCUCUCAACCCCGUUCUUAUUUAUCAGCAACGUCUUAUGUCUUUAAUUAUCUCAACCCUCUAUCCUCAACCAUCCAAUGGGGUUACCUUCAAUUCCAAUCAGAGACUCUCAAAUCCAUUUCAGUUGUUUAUUACUGAUUGCUGUCUAUAUCUUCAUGUUGCUAUGCAUGAUACAAAUAAUUUUGUGCGUUGAGAGCAUUAGGGGGUGAGUUAGGAUAACACCUAUUGUUGAAAAGAUGGUGGAAACUUGACUUAGGUGGUUUGGACGUGUAGAGGGUAGAGCGGUAGAUUCUGUUGUCGAUAGAGUAAACUAGAUCGAGAGUUGUCAAAUAACAAGAGGCAAACGAAGGAAUAGGAAAACUAUUAAGAAAGAUCUAGAGAUAUGAUAUAUGAUAGAAUAUUAUGAUGUUGUUUGAUCCAUGUAGCCGACCCGACUUAGUGGGAUAAGGUUUGGUUGUUGUAGUCGUCGAGAACAUGCUUUGCUUGAUUAGUUAACUGAUGCAGAAAAUCUUUACAUAACUAAAUAACUAAGUAUCAAAUUAUUUAAAAGGUUUAAAGAACUCAAACCCCCCAAGCAGUCGGUUACUUUUCUUGAAUUGUUAAACAUUUAAUCAUAUAUUGAUUCAAUUAACCAUUGGAGUGGUUAGUGUAAUCUCCCAUUUUCUGGGGGCUAAUUGAACUCACAAAAUGAAUUGGUGUACUGAACUAGUUAUACUGGAGUCAUUAAAAUAUAAUAUUUCUUUUUUUUAUUUGACGAAAAAAAAUUAUAUCUUAGUAACCACUUUUAUUUUAAAAUGGAAAAAGCAUCCAAUAGGCAUCCGUUUUUUCUUUGAAAAUAAAUGCUUAUAUAUCAUCAUAUGUAGACUUUUUGUAAAUGUUCUUCCUUUUGACUUUCAGUCAUCAUGUGUGAGACGUCCUAAAUUUAUUGUUUGCACUGGUGGAAAUCCUUCUGGCUAUAUCCCUACACAUACAAGCCAAAACUCAACCUCUGGGUAAGUUCUAUGAUUUCCACACUAGAACAUACUGAUGGCACUGGAUAUCUACCAAUCUGUAUUUUAAAUAUACACUUUCAUGGGGCAGUGGAUUAUUUUCCGGAAAUAUUUGGAGGAACCUAUCAUCAUUGAUGCCUCAAAGGGAAGUGUCUGCCCAGCCUCAGGUAUAUGCUUUUGGUAGUCCCUAAAUAAUCUUGCACUUUUUUGUUGGCUUUACUAUAAUGUGAACAACUGCAAUGAAACUUUUGCACAGUACAUUCAUGAGAAGUGUAAAUACAGAGAUCUUACACGAUCUUUUGAUCAAGUCGGUUUCUGUAGAGUUGAUUUUGUAAAAGUAUGUUAGUUUGACAUUGGUUAUCAGUUGCAUCAUGUGAAAACAAAUGCAAUGAAUAGUUAUUCGUGUGUCGUUACCCGGUUCACUAUUGGUCUAACUUCUGCAAGUAUGAAGACAACUUUUGCACAUGAUAUUUUUCUUUCUGUCUGGCUUUAUGUUUAUCUCUUACCAUUUCUUUGGCAAGCUAGUCGUGUUUCCCUCUUUUAAGGCAUUAAUAGUUCUUCAGGAGAUUUUGUAAAAAUCCAAGCAUUUGGUUAGUUUUAGAAUUUUUUGUCUGGGAUUUUUUUUUGGAGUUAAUCUUUCAUCUUCAACUCGACAAAAUUUCAUACUUCAAAUUGUUUCCUUCAGAUUCAUCAAUUCAUCCAUUGAUCUAAGGCUGCAACAUCAGCAACUGCUUUUAGAAAAAUAACUUAAAGUGCUUUUCUUAUCAUAGAAAUUCCACUUCAUUAUUGGCAACAUUAAAUGUGACUUAACAUGAUUUUCCCUUUUCACUUGAAUUAUAUGUUGUCCACCCAUUUCAAGCUGUUUAUCAACUGGCUUUGCUUCUUGUUGUGCCUGUCUGUUAGCAACAAGCUGUUUAAAAAGUGAAACUAUGUCCCUACCUCUUUUGCAAGACAUUGUUAAUUGCAAGUUUCCAUGUCUAUAUUCUCGUUUAUUUUUUCAAAAAGAUAAUAUUCUGUAAGCCAGAGGCAUCCAUUUAUAGACACUUGAUUGUAUUAUAUGAAACCUUGCAGUCAGUUGAGGACAGUAGGUUCCCUGGGAGGGGAAGGACCCUUGGUGCUGUUCAAGGUCAAACUGCUUCUGGUCUUCAUUCCGAUUCAAAUCUUCAAGCUAGACUCUUGGAGGACAGUAGUCCUGAUCAUAUUUCAGAUUCACCCAUUAUGAAUACUACUCAAAGGUUAACUGAAGGAAGGUAUGAGGGAAUGUUGUAUGCAUGAUUGGUAACUUAUGGUGGUUGCUUUAUUGUCAGUUGAAUUUCAGUUUGCUGAGACCAGAAUCAUAUUUUCCUUUGUAGUUUGAACACAUUCUUAGUUCUUAGAGCAUGAGACAUAGUCUGAUAUAGUGUUUUUUCUAGGAGUGGCAAUUCCAUCUUGAAUCCAACAGUUAGAUGAGCUUGGCUUGCAGAUUGCUUUCCCGUUGGCCAUGGACAACAAGCAUUUGAUUUUAAGUUAUAAUGUCUAUCCUGAAGAGAACAUACAUUGGUGCAAUUAUUGAUAGAAUAUAUUUCAAGAGUACAAACUAUAUUUUGUUGGGAUGAGUUAAGGCCAACCACAAUUCUAAGAUGGUCUUAGAGCUUAUUGAUCAAGCCACGGGCCACCCACCAUUUAUAUCCACACACCAAGUCCAAUAGUGUUGUGCGUGAAGGGGUGUAUUGGGAAAAUCCCAAUUCACACAUUGGUUACCAAUAUAACUUAGAAAAAGUUUAUAUAAAGUGACACCCUUUACCUUACAAACCUGUUUUGUAGGAAUGAGUUAGGCUCAACCCAUAUUUUAAGAGAAUAUCUAUUUAACUUUAAAUUUACAAAAUAAUUAACAUGACUUUAUCUAUAGGCUAAUAGAAUACUCCAUAAAUAGUUCAAGUUAUAUGUCCAUUAUCAUUAGAAGUUAAGAUUAUGCAUGAUAUAUAACUAAAUUAUAAGCUUCUCAUCUGCAGAAUAAGAAAUUACACUGAACCAGUUUCUUUAUAAUCAGUUAUCCCUUGAUUUCCAGUUAUAUCAAUGAAAGGGUUCACUCAGUAGUAAAUUGGUUGAUGUUAGCCAUUGUUUGCUUGCUCUUCAGUUAAACUUGUUUUUCGGUACCAGUAACUUGGAUUUCACUGGGUUUAGGUUUGCUUGCUCUUAAGUUUAACUCAUUCAUCAGUACCGGUAACAUGGAUUUUACUGGGUUUAGGUUACAUGUUUAACAAAGGUGUCGUUUAGUCUCUGUUGUUAUCACUGGAAAUGGGCAGUUGGGAACUAAACAAAGUAUGCUCCCUGACAUAUAGCAUAGUAUCUUUUGCUUGGAUUGAUAAGUUUAAGUUAAAUUUCUCAGUAAUACUGAAAUAUUUUCAAAACUACCAUAGUAUGUUUGAAAUGUUCUUCACUUAAUUUUUUAAUUUAUCUUAGGCAUCCAGUUGAUAAUGUAGCUACAACAGGAGCGGGUGUUCCACAUGAUCAGGUCUUUUACUUACUGUGGUUGAAGAUUUCUUGUUUUCUUUAUUUAAUAUCGAUAUUUAAUAUUCAUUAUUGUUUUCUCUUGCAGGGAGCAGUUGUUUCAGAAGAAGAGAUUAAGAAACUUGUAGCAAUGGGCUUUGAUAGGGUAAAAAUCAGUUUCAAUAUCUUUUAAGUUGUCACGAAAAAUGGAUUGAGCACCGUAUUACAUUUUUCUCAUCUAAAAAAUCUAAUGUAAAUACAUCGGUGUUUAAUCUCCUUUUGGGUCCUUUCUAGUAUCAUUUUCAGGCAUGUGCAUCAUAUGUAUAGAUUAAAACCUACAGCACAAUUUUGUGUUUUUAUGCAUUUUUCUUGUGCUGCUUUCAGACGCAAGUGGAAGUGGCGUUAGCAGCUGCUGAUGGUGAUCUUAAUGUAGCAGUGGAAAUACUCAUGAGCCAGCAGGUCCUAAUUGACUUUUGUUUUUUUAAAGUUGUUUAUUUGUUUCUUGAUUCUUUUUAUUGAAAGUGUUUUGUUUGUUGAUCUAUUGCAUUACAGGGUUAAGACAUGAAAGCUUCCGUUGAUUGGGUAUAUGUCCCCUGUGCUUGUUCAAUCAAGCAGUUUAAUCUCAGACUCCAUCACUAACAGUUUGGUGACACCUCACGGUGAUGCCAAUUCCAGUGAACAGAAUAGAACAUGUGUAAACUUCUAAUGCCAGUGAUGUAUAACAAUGUUGAAUAUGAUUAGCUAAAGAGUUUGCAAAUAGAAGUCUGUGGUUAACUUGUAAGCAUUCUGUUUCCCUCUCACCAUCCCCAUUCCCCUUGGAUAAGGUUUUAUAUAUAGUUUUGAAAAGGCUAGUGGCGAUUCAGCAAGCUGGAGUAAAACUUUAUUUCUGAAUUUUUUAUAUUUAAAUAUAGUAAAAAUCAUGGUAGUCAAAACCGGUUGGACCAGCCAGUUCAACCGGUUGGACCGGCCAAUUCGACUGGGAACUGGAUAUGUGUCCGGUUUAUAUCACUCUCAAAACUGGCCUAUAACAAAACCGGAAAAAUCACAAAAACUGGGUCAAACCGGUGAACCGUUUACCAAGGCCAACCAGAUUUUCCUUUUUGACUUUUUAAAAUUUAAAACUAAAGGAAAAUACAAGGGUGUUUUUUACUACACCUCAGGUAGAGAUCACUAGGGGUGGCAAAACGGGCCCGGCCCGCGGGCCAUGCCCGUUUUACCCGUCAUUUUUGGCGGGGCGGGCCAAGGAUUUAGGCCCUCACCCUCAAAUGUGUCCGCCCCGCCCCGCCCCGUUUUUUUCGCGGGCUUUUGCGGGCAUGUGUAUUUACAUAAAUUUUUGUAUUUUUAGGCUUAAAGAGUGCAGUGCCCGCGGGCUUUCCCCGCCCCGCCCUCACUUUUUUGCGGAGCGGGUCUAAGUUUUAGGCCCACAUCCUCAACUAUGACCGUCCCGCCCCGCCCGUUUUUUUGUGGGCUUUUGCGGGGCGGGCCUAGACGGGGCGGACAUGCCCGUUUGCCACCUGUACCUCACAUACAUGAUUUUUGUAAAAACGAAAUUGAUAACACCGUCAAUACAGACUGAAUUUAUGCAAGAAUAUGAUAGCAUUAACUUUGUGUGUUUUUAAGUAAUUGUUAAAGAAUAGAAAAAGUUGUGUAUAUUCUUGACAAAAUAAUCUAUAUCCGCGGAUACCCGUAGAUAAAAUCUAUCUCAUAUGCGAAACGGGUAGUUAAAUGAAUAUUUAUAGAUAAAAUUAAUAGAUAUUUAAAUAUCUAUUUUUUAAUUGAUACGAAUGUGGAUUUAAUGAUCCCACAAAAAUAUCCAAAUCCAUCAUUAAAUCAUAAAAAAUAUUUAAAUAUCAUUAAUUUAUUAUAAUUUAUCUUUUCAUUUUCUAAAAAAUUAAUUUCUCAUAUUACUAUUAAAAAAAACUUUUUACAUUCAUACAAAUCUAUAUCUCACUUCAGCAAAUUCACUGUCCCUAUCAACCAAUAUCUCCCUUCCUCGUCCAAUGAGGACCUCACUUUCUAUUUCUCAGUCAUCCGUUCUUUCACUUUAAUUAAUAAUUAUAAUAUUUUUAUUUGUUUUUAGUUAAUAAUAAAAUGUAUAGAUAUUAUGUUUGAAUGUUAUGUUAUGGUGAAAAAGAAGAAAAUUAAUGUGAUGAAAAUUUGUUGUUAAAUUUAGAGUAAAUUGAUAUUAUUAUAACUUUUUGUGUCUUUAAAAUAAAGUUAAAAUUUAAAAAAAAUAUAUUUAUAAAAAAAUAUUUUUCAUUGAUAUAUGUGAAUAUUUACUAAUUCUUUAGAACUCACGAAAGAUCCUUUCAAUAGAUACCCGCAAGAAUAUCAUAUUUAUCUAAUGGAUAUCAUAUUUAUCUAAUUGAAGAGAAAUAUAUAUCAUAUUAUCUAAACUCAUAGAUAUUCAUUCACAUCCUAUUUAUAUCAAUUCUUUCAUAAAUCAAAUAUAAAACAAAAGCCUUUUCUCAAAAUUUAUGAUUUUACAUUAACUAUUUGAAAAUUCUAAUAUAAAAUUAUACAUUAUCUUAAAAUUAAAUUAUAUUUCUUGCAUGAAGUUAGAUAAAAUUCAGAAUAUUAAAUAGUAAUAUAAUUUUAACAAAGAUUUAAUGAGUAAAUAUGCCUGUAGCUAGGGAUGUAGUGGUCGUAGAUAGCCAAUUAGCCACAAGACAAGAUUAAUAUACAUGCUAAAAUAUUGAUACAAACACUUAAUUCGAAAAAUCACUUAUUUAUUUUUAUUUAUGCAUUGAAUUUGAAUAAGUCAGUACUAUCAACAAGCAAGAAUAACCGUAUUCAGAAUAGGCCGUGGCGAUUAUGAAGUUGGUUUAGGGCUUAGUGAUAAAUCUAGCUAAGAAUAUUAUUAAAGGCGCCCUCAAUCUGCUUUAGUACCCCAACAUUAAAUAGAAAAAUAUCAAACUGCUAAUUAGUGCUUCAAAGAAAUUGCUUAAUAAGUUAAAAUGAAAAUAGAUCAUCUUCUGCCUUUCUCUUCUCCCAUCCCUCUUAUGCUUCAUCUAGUGGCCGAAAAUUGAUAUAAAAUUAUCUAUCUAUUAUAUAAGAAAAUUAAAUGUUGUGGAAAUCUCUUUUUUGCCCUUUCUUAUAAAUCUACCACCUCACCAAAAUGAGGGCAAUUUUUAUCCAAAUAUUAUUUUGUGCAACUAAUGAUGUCACAUUAUUCAAUUCCAACUACAUACUUAUGGUAUUAUGCAUUGGAUGAUUAGGUUUGGUUCAAUUUAUGAUGUCAUAUGGUUCUAUUGCAAUUCUCUUCUUUACAAAGUUUUACUUUAUGUCACAUUAUCCCCUUUUCUUUUCUCCUCUUUAUGCGUACCCAUUUCUUCCUUUUCUCUUUCUUCUCUCCCCCUUCUUCCGUCUUCUCUUUCUCCUUUAUCUAAUCUACUAUUUCUUCUCUAUCUUCUCUCUUCUAUCGGAUUUGAAAUUGUUUUUAUGUAACAAAAAACAUCAUAACUAGAGUACGAUAAAUUUGUUUACGGAAUGUUGUUUCGAUUUCAAGCAAAUAAAGAGAUGUAGAUUUGCUUUUAAAUUGUGGAUUCAAUUUCAAGUGAAAAAGAUGGAGAUCUGAAUUUGGGUUGUGCUAACGAUUUCAAUUUUAUGUGUUCUUCACUCUUUUGGAUUACUCUUUGAUGAUUUUUUUUUGCUUUUUUCAGCAUCGGAUAUGUAUAACUUUGAGACCGUAGCCGUCAAAAUGGUUUUUUUUCUCAAGGUUAGUUCUUCGACAAUCUUCUUCUCACUAUGUUUGUUUCAAUCCUUGAUUUUUUUUUGUUUGUAUUAUUUUCUUUUUUUUAACCUAAAUCAUUCAACUUUGCAACUACUUUUCGAUUUUCUACUUGAUUUUCAUUAUGGGUCUUACCAAUUUCAUUAUGCGUAGAUGAGGAAGCAGUUUUUGUUUGAUGAUAGUUGUGCUAUUAUUUCAUAAUACAAGUUUCAAUACAUUACUUGAAUUUUUUUAUUUCUGCUUUAGCUGUUCAGAUGAUAAGGGUCAUCACAUGAUGUCGAUCACAUGGUGAAGCUAGCGGAAAUAUACCCGAACGUAUCGCACGCUCGAACAUACAACAGAGUCGCCAUUGAACUUUAUUUAUCCCCAAAGGGAAGGCAAAACAUCGAUAAAACCCGGGGGAAAGAGAUAUACUGGGUAAGGAAGUCGGUUAUGCAAGGGGAAGGUAUUAGCACCCCAAACAUCCAUGGUACUCCAUGGGAACCGUUUUGAUUGUUCUCGCUCGAAAAAACCCGGGGGAAAGAGAUAUACUGGGUAAGGAAGUCGGUUAUGCAAGGGGAAGGUAUUAGCACCCCAAACAUCCAUGGUACUCCAUGGGAACCGUUUUGAUUGUUCUCGCUCGAAUAGGUGUUAUAUAAAGAUUACUCGCAAAAGAAUAAGGGGAAAGGAAGGGAAAUAGAUAAAGUGCUUAGUGAGGAGUAGGGCCCUCAUGCCUACGUAUCCUCAUAGUGUAAUGAGAAAGUCAAAACAAUCGUAGUUCAAUAACUAAUGGUGGGAGGUGGAAAGGAGUGUGAUAGAAGGUAUGAUCUGAACCAAAAGAUUGUGUUGUUUGAACUCCAACGAGGGGUGAAAAUGUGAACCCAAGAGUAAAACUGGUGUGAACCAACAAGUGAGGGCGUAUAGCACUUGUAUCACUGUAUUGGAAUAACCGAAAAGAAAGGGUUGCCUAAGUACGGCUGCAAAGUAAGUAAGGAGAUGUUUGUCUAAGCAACAGGGUCUGACAAGACGAACAAAUCGGCUCUUGGUUCACAAAAAGGGUAUAAGAUGGAGCACAAAGGUAUGGCGUAUUUGGCUCAAAGAAUAGGGUAUAUCACAUGGAGUGCAAGAAGGUAGUAUACGAGUGUAUCAUGGGAUGAACGGAGUGAAGUGAACGAAGUCACAAAAAUGAGUAUUUGGGUAACAAGUGACUGAAGAAGUAUUGUUUGAAAUCAAAAGGUGAAAGCUAUUGGAAUCCAUAAGAGAAAUGGGAUUUCUACCAUAGAGGGAAACAGCGUUAACCGAUAAGUGGACUAGCAGGCCGCCACUGUAGGGUUUUGGCUAAAAAGGAAGGAAUUAAGUGUUUGGGGUUGUUUGCCCAAACAACUCUAGGUAGAAAUGUGGACUACAUUAGGUGUCCCGCAAGGGUGUAUAUGGAAUCCCAAGGAAAGUGUAUUUCGAUGUCAAAGAGACAGUAUGUCACUGGAUGAGCGAUUUAUGAUCGAAGGUAGAUAGUGAAUUGUGAAAGAUAUGAAUGAUGCUCUAAGGCGAAUGAUGAAUAAUUAGAAGUAUGCUCUCCAAGGAUUCGCAUCCUCGUGCCUACGUAUUCUCACUGUGAAAUGAGAAAGUCAGAGCAAUCGUAGUUCGGAACUACGAGAAUAGAGAGAGAGAGAGAGAUGUUUGUCUAAGCAACAGGGUCUCACAAGACAAACACCAAGUCAAGGAAUGAUUGUAGUAUUGGAGUGCAAGGAGUUGUGUGUCACUUGCUGGGGAAUCGACAAUUCGAGAUCAAAUAAGGAUAGUAGCUUGGAUCCAAGAGAAGGAUAAACUCUUAAUCGAAGAGCAAGGUAGGCAUUUACCAAUACGUGGACUAGCAGGCCGCCACUAUAAGGUAAAGCCAAAAAGAAAGACUGAAUUAAGUGUUUGAGGUUGUUUGCCUAAACAACUCUCGAUUGAAGAGAUGGGAUGUCAUUAGGACGUCCUAAAAGGAUGGACAAGGAGUCCAAGGAGAAGUAUGAUUGAUCUCAAAAGGAUGGUAUAGAUUGCAUGAAUGGAGUAGCAAUAGAUUAGGUAGAUUGAUAAAUAGGAUAGCUCACGAAGAAACUGGGUUCUCCUGCCUACGUACCCUCAUAGUGUAAUGAGGAAAUCAGAGCUUUCGUAGUUCAUCCCACUAGGGCUGAAAAGAAAUUGAUUGGAGGCAAAAGAAGGAAUGGAUGAUUGAGAUUGAAUUGAUUAGAAUGGAAUGAAGUAAGAGAGUGAAGUGAUAAGAGACUUGACAGUCGAUUGAUAGGAAUGACACUAAAGUCUAUGAAUAAGGGCGAACGCUUUGAAUAUUUGGGGCAUAUGCCCCAUACGCAAAGUCGCUCUAGACAAGGAUAGGAGAGACUCCCUCUCAUCAUUCCUUAUUACUUAAGACAAAUGCAUAAUACUUCUCUCGACUGACAAGUUGCUGGUGAAGAAUCUUUGUUGUUGAUCCUUGUGUUGAUGUUGAACUUGUAUGAAGAAGACUUGGUAGUUUAAUCGAUUCGUAUUGUACUAAAGUCUAUGAAUAAGGGCGAACGCUUUGAAUAUUUGGGGCAUAUGCCCCAUACGCAAAGUCGCUCUAGACAAGGGUAAGAGAGACUACCUCUCAUCAUUCCUCAUUACUUAAGGCUCGUUUCGUACAAUUUGAAUCAUAUUUACCAAGUGUUGACCUUUGAUUUGUCUUGUAUAAUCCACUGCUUGGUUUGACUGAGGAUGCCUUGAUUGAAGAUCUUGAGUUGAGGCCUUGUGCUCCACAGCUUGGAAGAAAAGUCUUAUUAAGUGACCAAGGGUCUUUUGGUCACUCAAUUUAGACUGGGGGAUUAUACAAGUUCAAAGGAUUUAAUUAAUCAAAAUUGCUUUUGAUCAAUUUAAUCGGGGGUUUUGUUUUAGUUUUGAGGGGAACUAAUUUUGGAUCUAGUUAAAAUUAGUAAUUAUUAGAAGCUAUCCUAAGGGAUAAUGCAUUAGAGAUUGAUUAGAAAUUCUAAGUUAGAAGUCCUAAGGGAGCAUGUACAUAUUCUAACAAAAUACCAAGAUGAGCCCCUAAGGGCAAAAUUGUCAUUUAUGAAAUAUAUCCAAAUAUCACAAAAAAUUAAAUUCUAGCCUAGUCCUAAAGUCGGAUAAAUCCUAAUGUUAAAAAAGGAAUGAUUCUAAAUUCGAUCGAAGACCCAUUAAAAUCUAAUCAAGGUCCUAAUUAAAUUCAAAUGAAAAGUCCUAAAAUGUGAACUAAUCCUAAUUAAGAUUCUAAUUAAGAUUCUAAAAUUUAGAUUAAUCCUAAUUGUCUAAAUCAACCUAAUUAAGCUUAUAUUAUCCUAAUUAAUCAAAUGGUAAAGGCCAUUAAAAAUAAAAGAAAAUGAAUAAAAUGGUGAAAUGGAGGUGUGAAUGUCAGAUGGGUGGUGCAAACUGAAUUCAGGUCAUUGGGCUGCGAAAUGAGCCCACAACUGGUUUUUGUACAACAAGCAAAUCUAACAAAACUGGGGGCGUGAAUUGCAAUUCAUACUAAUGGGCUGCCCCACGAGCCCAUCGCUGGUUUUUUUUGUGCAAGACCGAAUUCCCAAAAAAGGGGGUGCGCGUUUGAAAAUGCGAGGUGGAUUAGGAAACAGGCUAAUGGGCUUGGUUAAGCCCAACUCAAUUUCUUUCCAAAGGUACAGGGAGGUGUAUUAGUGAAAACAUGAGUGUAAUGAGUAAAUCAGUGGGCCUAAAACGUUAAGCCUAGACUCACUUUCCCUUGUAAACUCUGGGGUGUGUUAGCAAAAGAUGGUAUGAAAGCAUGAAUUUCCAUGGGCCUUGAGAAUCCGAGCCCAUCAUACCCUCCCUGUUGACUUGUACAAGUCAACAGGUUUGAACUAGUAAAUCUUGCGCGCUCAAAAGUUCAUCGUCACUGGACGUUAGCCACCGCGUCGGUGGGCAUCACCGGCGGCGGUGGCAUCCAAAACCUAAAUUCCAAUUGCCAAAUCAUGCGCAAAGACGCGCUGGUAACAAGAAUGGGGUCCAUUUGGGGGAAAGAUUCAUGGGUCAACCGAGUCAAGAGGAUCUUGGGAAGAACGCUAGAAUUCUAAGUGUGAAUUAAAUGGCGUUGGUGAUCAAUUAGACUCCUACACUAUGGGGCUUCUGUUUCUCAUACCAAAAUCUCCUAACAGGUGAGCUCAGCGCAAUUAAAUACAAGUGAAGCAAAACUACAUACCGGAGAAGACGAUCGGAACGGUUCGCCGGUGAGUUCUUGACUUUGCCUUGCACGCUUUCUUUCUUCCUCUUUCUCCUUCUUCUUUCUUUGAACUUGAGAAUCGUGAGUACGGAAAUGGAAUGGCAGUGGUUAAGCUCAAGUAAUAUUGAAGCUUCAAUGGCUUUUCUGUGAGAGAGUGAGAGAGCUUUGGUGAGGGUGAGGGAAAAAGCUGCAGAGAGAGUGUGCACAAAUUCGUAGGGUUCUAAAGGUUCUGAAAAUGAGAGAGGUGCAUUGUUUAAAUAGGUUUUAGGUUUGGGAAUUGGCUUGGAGUUUGUUAGGUGAGGUUUGGAGUUGGUUAGAAUGAACUCACUGAGUUAACUCCAAACUCAGUUAAUUAGGGAGUUAGUUAAUGAAUCCAAAUUAGUUGGUUAGCUCAUUGAGUGUUAAGUCCAAUUAUGCUUCUGACUGGCUAUUGCAGGUUACAUUAGGAUUGGGGUUGGCCUUGCAACUUGGUUAGUGACUUGUAGAACAGGUUCCCACUUGGUUAGUGAAUUGGAUUAGGCAAGUGUUAUGUUAUUAGUUUGGCUUGUAUACAUUGCAAGCCCAUACAGCUUUAGGUCUCUACUGUUUUUCAUAUGCUUGCUUUGUUUUUCUUUACACUCUAUUGAAUUGUUAUGGCUUGGUUAGACCAUGGUACUCAACUGGUUUUGCUGCAGGGUUAACUAGCAAGAAGUUGGCACAUGAAGAGGCUCCAAUUCCGCACCACUGUCCAUUGAGGUAUGUGUGCAUUUGACUUGGGCAAGGAUUUGUGGUGAACACAGUUGAGCAAUCAAUCGUGCAUUGGUCUGUUGAAGCAAUAGCAGUUUGUGUAGCCUUCUUCUUUUUGGAUUUUUGUUGUGUUAAUUUCAUGUCAAGUUGUUGUACCAAGUAUGCAGAUUGUAGUUGGAUGAUUAGCAUGGUCAGGUUGCAAGUGUAAGCUGAGAAAUUAGAAAUGGUAGGUUUAUGAUUAAUCCAUUUAGUUGAUGAUGCCAUACUGUGAUGGUAAUGCUAGUUGCAGGGGUUUGUAAUGCCUUCUGUAGGCCUGCUCAUAAUCUCAUUAUCAUGUUAGGUGUUGUAUGAAAUGGUUUUGGUUAACUAGUUUGGAUUGUUGUGGUUUGAAGAUGCUGCAGGAUGUUGUUUAGCCUUGGUUUUGCAGGCUUGGUGCAAGUUGCCCUAUGGUCUUUGGUUGGCUCAAAACAGGGCAAUAUUAUUUAGCAGAUUUUGUGCGCAACUGUUGUGGCUUCGAUUCAUGUUUUUUGUCUACUGCAGGGCCAAUAGUUGGUUUGGUUAUGGUCUUUUGUUGGUCAUGGUGUACUGUAAGCAAGGAAUGGGCACACUCAUAUGGUGCUGCUGCAGUUGGCAUGAGGUCUAGUGUUGUAUUUGGAGUUUGCAUCUAGCAACUUGUGCCAUUGUGGACCUUGCAAUGACAGUGUUUUGUCAUGGCAGCAGGCACUUUGUGGACUAUCUUAAGCUCGCAUUAGAUAUUGAUGGCUAUCAUGGUUAUGCAUUGCAGCAGGUCUAGACUGGUCGCACAGUUGUAGGUUCAAUUGACUGUGUAUGCUUCUAUUACUGGUUUGGCAUGUUGCAGGUUUGCAGAUAGGUCCAUAUGCAUGACGGUUGCAGAUGGUAUAUUGUUUGGUCUAGCUUCAUUGUUCAGCCUCAAAUUGGAUGGUUUGUGGUAAGGGCCUUCUUUGUUGGUUGGCAGGUUCACAUGGCAAUGGUUCAGUUUGUGGACGUAUCUUGAUCUUGAUGUUCAUUAUGUAGCCAUACAUACUAACUUUGAAAUUAUGCAUUAUUUUUUCAUGGUUGCACAGGUCCAAUACUGGUUUGGGUUUGCACUGCAGCUUGGUUCAUUGCUCAAAUCCUUGGUGGCAGCUUGGUGAAUUUGGUCAUGGCUUUUAUGGUUGGACAAUGUAAUGAUAACAAGGUUGGAUUUUAAAGCAACAUGUACCAUUGGUUGUUCAAGGAUCUAGACAGAACAUGGAAGGUUAUGGUUAGAAUAUGGUGCUGGCAUUUGUUGUUGUUUAUCUUGCAGGUCAUGGAUGGAUGGGCAAGUAAGCAUGGUUGAGCAUGAUAUUACCAAUGGGCCAAAUUACUUGAAAAAUGAAGAAAUCCAACAAAGCAUAUCAAAUUGAAAUAUUGGGAUGAGAUGUCAAGGCCAAGUGGGUUAGAGUAGCUUUUUGGGGGUAAAAAAAAAGGGGAGGUUGACUUUGGUCAAAUUUGACCAAAAAGUCAACUGUUGAAAUGGAUCAACAAAUGGAUUGAAAGUGGUUCCCCAAAUUGUUUUAUUUUAUGACUUGGACUUUUGAAAAAUAACUUGACUGAUAAUGUACAUGAACAAAGCCAUCAAGUGAGACCAUGAGAUUAGGGUUUUGACAUAAUGUCCACAUACCAAUGGCAUGACCAACAAGAAGGCUUGAAGCAUACAGAAUUUGGAUAUUCAGAUGAUCAGGACCAAAGGCAUAUCCUUAACCAUAUGGAUAUAAUCAUUGACUUAGGACCAAGACCAAUGCUCCAAGAAGGGUUAAGCCAAGAAAAACUGACAAAGAGUAAAGAUUGAAGGGCCAUGAAUGCACAAUGAAGCCACCAAGUUCACCUGAUUCCCACCUUCUGAUUAGGGCUUUAGAGACCAAGACAAGGCCUGGGGGAAGCCUCAUGAAGUCAUGCCUUGAUGAAUUAGGGAUUUGAAGGCCCUGAGCUGUCUGGCCACACCUUUGUUGAAAUCAAACCUUCACCACCAUCAUCAGGGAUUCACAUCCCAUAUGUUGAUGAUGUGAUCAAACCAUGCCUUUGGACUUUGACAUCUAUGUAAACCCUAGCUUUAUGGGCCCCAGUUUCUUCUAAAUCCAUGAGGAAUGAUGCAUGUGGAUAAGUUAUGAAUGUUUGCAAGUCAUCUCCUGAUCAAGUGGUUGGAUGCAUAGGUGAGAAAUGGGAGGGCAAAUUUAGGGGUACAACACAUGACACCUGCAAGUCCAAGCUGAAACAGCUGGUACAUGAUUUGUUUAGUGAUUACCAUGAUGUUAUGUGAAGGUAUGUUUAAUAUGGAUAUAUUUCUAUGUUGCUUUUUUCUAUUUAUCACUUUUUUUGUAUGUGCUUGUGCAGUAUAAUUUCAAAGACAAACUCUAUGAAAUUAAUUUAUGAACCAAAACCAUGUGGGUCAAAUCACACAGGUUGUUAUCAUUUUGAGAUCAUGAUUAUUAGACCUUGUAUAUUACUAUUUCUUAUUAUUUUUAUUUUGUAUAUACAGUGACGGUGGAUAAGAAUGGCUUUGUCUACACGUGAAUAAUCCUUUAGUGUCUUAUCUCAGUAUCUUACUUCCAUUUGUAUGGUUGUAAUCUGUUUGAUAUUCAUUUGGCCAGAACAACUAUAAGGCAGCUUAUCAAAUAACAAAUUAUAGGAUAAGAGCUUAUCAAAUAAGCUCAUAAAUUGUUUCUAUAGUGAAAAAGAAAAUAUGGUUAAAUGUUUCAAUAUAAGUUAUAGAUUAUUUUCAUAAGCUGUUUUUAAGAACUUAUCAAAAGUAUAUGAAUAAAAAUAGUUUGCGAGCAUGUCUUAAAUUGAUUUUGUAAGCUCUGUUACACCCUAUGAGUUUAUUGUUAGAAAUCCCCCAAAACCUAUGGAUAAUUUCAAUCAAUCUUGAUGAACAAGAUUGUUAUCACCCACACAAUGACAAUAAAAGAAAAGAACAAUGGAGAAAGAAAGAGUGUAAAGAACGAUGAAGGAGAAAGAAAUCCCCCAAAACCUAUGGAUAAUUUCAAUCAAUCUUGAUGAACAAGAUUGUUAUCACCCACACAAUGACAAUAAAAGAAAAGAACAAUGGAGAAAGAAAGAGUGUAAAGAACGAUGAAGGAGAAGAGUAAUAUAAAAUUCUGCAAAGUUUCUCUCUGCCCACGAACUGUGGAAAACUUCUUAUUCACUUUUCAACUGCAAAAUACUGUGAAUUACAAUGUUAUGAAUGCAUUAUUCACUUCAUUACAAAAAUAAGGGUUACUCCCUCUAUUUAUAGAUUUAGGUUAACUUGGACUUCAAGCCAAAGCCCAAAACUAUAAAAGCCCAAAAUAGUUAACACUACUAAAAUAGACAUAGGUGGUUCGACACUUCCUUACUCUGUCGAGCAACCUGCUUCAACACAAGGAAUUAUAAUUCAACACACCACCUAAUUCAUUGUGUCUAAGUUAUCUACAUUCAUCAUAGCUCUUAGUCUUCAAAACACUUCGACCUGCACUCCCUUCGUCAUGAUGUCUGUAAUCUGAUUCUCAGUUCUGCAGUGUUCCACAUUCAUCUCCCAUUUGCUACCUACUCUCGAAGUAAUGGAACCUCAUUUCGAUGUGCUUGCUUCGACCAUGUGCUAUCAGAUUCUUCUCCAGAUUGAUAGCUGACGUGUUAUGGAUCUUCAUGGUAAUUGCUCCAUGACUCUUCGUUGUUAUCUCUUCGACCAGAUUCACCAUCCAUGUUACUUGACAUGCACAAAGAGAAGCAACUAUAUAUUCUGCUUCGCACGAUGAUAAUGCCACUACUAGAUCUUUUCUCGAACUCCAAGCAACUGGUGCACCAGCUAGCAUAAACACAUAGUCAGCUGUGGAUUUUCGAUCCUUAGCAUCACUACACCAACUUGAGUUGGUGUAUCCCACUAAUUUGCAUUCUUUUCCUUCAUCAUCUGUAGGAAAUAAAAUUCCAGAGUCGAGAUUUCCUUUUAGAUACCUGAGUAUCCUCUUCGUCGCUGCUAGAUAUGAUACCUUUGGCUUCUGCAUGAACCUACUCACCAUACCUACACUGUAUGCUAAGUCAGACCUUGUAUGACAUAGGUAUCGAAGUGACCUAAUAAGUCUUCUAUAUUGGGUUAGGUCGACAUCAUCUUCAUCUGAAUCUUUCGACAGUUGUAAUUUGGGCUCAGCUGGAGUCGAAGUUGGGUUGCAAUCUUGCAUCUCAAAUCUCUUGAGUAUUUCACCUGCAUACCUUCUUUGGUGCAUCAUCAAACCUCUACCACUCUUGCAGAAUUCGAUGCCAAGGAAAUAUGAAAUGUCACCCAGAUCUGAAAUUUCGAAUUCCUUGUUGAGAUCACCUUUGAAGUCUUCGAUCUCUUUAUUGCAACUACUUAUUAUCAACAAGUCAUCGACAUAGAGACAUAGUAUAAGCAAUUAACUCUUGCUUCUUCUUGCAUAUACUCCAUGUUCAGAUUUGUACUUCACAAAUUCCUUCUCCCUUAGAAAACCAUCUACUUGUUCCAAGCUCUUGGAUCUUGUUUAAGUCCAUACAGGGCUUUAUGCAGCCUGUACACUUUUCUUUCUUUGCCUUGUUUCACAAAUCCAGUUGGUUGUGCAACAUAAACUUCUUCUUCUAAGGGGCCAUUAAGGAAUGCACAUUUCACAUCCAUCUGACACAUCUGCAAGUUGUUCAUGUUUUCUAGACCAACAACCAACCUGAUUAUUUUGAUCCUAGCAACAGGUGCAAAAACCUCAUUGAAGUCAAUUCCUUCUUUCUGAAGAAAUCCUUUUGCCACAAGUCUCACCUUGUGUCGAGUCACUUCUCCUCUGGGAUUCAACUUCACCUUGUAUACCCACUUCACAUCGAUUGCCUUCUUGUCUUUGGGCAAUUCUACAAGUGACUAAGUGUUGUUGACGUCGAUUGAUUUCAGCUCUUCGUCCAUUGCUUUCAUCCACUUCGAAUCUUUCAAUGCCUCAGCUGCAUUGACAGGUUUGACAUCUGCGUAGAAAGCAUAAUGUACCAACUCACCUUCUUCAUAGACCAUAUCAUCUAAUGUAAUCACACAUUCUUGCAACCUUGCAGGCAUGUGUCUUAUUCUUUGAGGUCUGCUUGGGCCUACUUCACCUCUAAAUUCUUCAUGUCGAACUUCUCUUUCGACUUCACUAGUUGGUUCAUCACAAAAUAUUCUCACUGAAUAUUUCUUGACAUUCUCAGUCCAAUCCCACUCGCUCAUCUAUGAUCGUGUCCCUGCUGAUCGCCACUUGCUUAUUCACUGGGUCGAAUAACUUGUAUCCUCCAGUCGAAUGAUAUCCUAUCAGGAUCAUCUGACUCGACUUGUCAUCAAGUUUUCUUCUCACCUGAUCUGGCACAUAUCUAUGUGCUAUAGAUCUAAACACCCUCAGAUGACUCAAGCUAGGCUUGACACCAGACCAACAUUCUUCUGGCGUGAUUCCUUCUAGCUUCUUCGUCGGACAUCUGUUCAGGAUAUAUGUCGCAGUCGACACAACUUCUCCCCAUAAUUUUUGGGUAGAUGCUUGCCUUUCAACAUACUUCUAACCAUAUUCAUAAUGGUUUUAUUCUUCCUCUCUACGACUCCAUUCUGCUGUGGAGUGUAGGGUUGCACCACCUCAUGCACAAUCCCUUCUUUCACACAUAAUGCAUCGAAGUCUUUCGACACAUAUUCUCCACCACCAUCAGUCCUUAAAAUCUUGAUCUUUCGACCGUUCUGUCUUUCGACCAUAGAUUUAAACUUGGAAAAUACCUCGAUCACUUCACUUUUCUUCUAGAUCAGGUAAGACCACAGUUUUCGACUUAAAUCAUCUAUGAAUGUAACAAAGUAUUUGUUACCUCCAAUCGAAUCCACCUGGAGAGGACCAUAUACAUCAGAGUAUAUGACUUCAAGAAUUGCCUUCGACCUGCUUCCUGCAUCAUUACUGAAGUUGUUCUUAUGUUGCUUCGCCUGCACGCAUUCUUCACACACUUCGUUUCGAAUGUCGAUUUCUGGUAAUCCUGAAACCAUAUUUCUUCUCUUCAAAUCUCUGAUGUCUUUGAAAUUGAGAUGGCCAAGUCUAUAAUGCCAUAUCCAUUCAUCUCUGUUGGCUGCUGUUGCAAGGCACUUAUGCUCCAUCACAUUAAGCUAAAUCUUGAAGGUUCUAUUAUGAGACAUUGGAGCCUUCAAUAUCAACCUUCCAUUUGAGUCGAGAACUCUCAUCAUCUUAUCUUCGAUCGACACCUUGUAGUUCUUUUCGGCUAACUUCCAUAUGGUGAGCAAAUUGCUCUUCAUGCCUGGUAUGUACAACACAUUUGAAAUUACUGACCUCUUGCCAUCUUUCCUCAUAAUCAGAACAUCACCAACACCUUCAGCUGCUAGAGUGUUGUCAUUCGCAAAUUUCAUCAUGUUCUUCAUUGAGGGUUUUAUGUUGACAAACUAAUCUUUUCUUCCAGACAUGUGUGAUGAGCAUCCCGAGUCCAAUUACCACUGGUCCUUGAAUCUCUCUUCUUCUCUUGUUGUAACCAUCAGCAACGUCUCUUCUUCUUCAUGUUUCGCCAGCUUUGUAUAAGUUUCAUGAUUCUUCUGCUUUUCUGGACAAUCACUAGAAUAGUGACCAUACCUUUGACAAUUAUACCACUGAAUGUGACUCUUCCUCUACCUGCAACACCACCUCUUUAGUUGCCUUGGUUCCAGGGUUUUCUCUAAUUCGACCAGUUUCCUUCUUGCUGAUUUCGACCAGUCGAAUUGUUGUAACCUCCUAUGCCUUUGUUGUCAUUCCAACUUCCUUUGCCUUUUCUUUCUUUUGCUGAUUGAGCCUGCAAAUCCAUAUCACUCUUCGACUUUCCUGCAGCUCUUUCAACCAUUCUUUGUUCAUGAGAUUCAAGCAUCCCUUGAAGCUCUUCCUUUGUCAACUUUGACAAAUCUUUCGACUCUUCUAUGGCUACUACCACAUGGUCGAACUUUGGAGCCAACGACCUCAAUAUCUUUCCAACAACAAAUCUUGAUGUCAACACUUCUCCACAUACCUUGACUUGAUUCACCAGUUUCGUAAUCUUGGUGAAGAAAUUAGUUAUGCUUUCAUUGUCUUCCAUCUGAAGCAAUUCAUACGUUCUUUUGUGAGUUUGUAACCUCACCUCUUUCACCUUCUCUGCUCCUCCAAACGAUUUCUCCAGAAUUUCCCAUGCUUCUUUCGCUGACUUUGCAUCACUAACCUUUUCAAAGUUAUCUGCAUCAACACAUUGAUGGAUUAUAAAGAGAGCUUUAUAAUCUUUCUUCUUCAAUUCUUUAUGUGCAGCCUUUUCUUGAUCCGUCGUGGCUUCUGCAAGCAUUGUUACUCCUUCCUUCACAAGAUCCCAAAGAUCUUGAUAAUAGAACACAACCUUUAUCUACUUGAACCAAUUUUCAUAAUUGUUGUUCUUGAGAAUCGGAAGAUUUGCUGGAAAAUACCCGUUUGGAUGAUUCGUUUCCAUAAUGAUUUUCUUCCCACGAAUCGAUUAAAUCGGAGCUCUUGAUACCAGAUGUUGGAAAUCCCCCAAAACCUAUGGAUAAUUUCAAUCAAUCUUGAUGAACAAGAUUGUUAUCACCCACACAAUGACAAUAAAAGAAAAGAACAAUGGAGAAAGAAAGAGUGUAAAGAACGAUGAAGGAGAAAGAAAUCCCCCAAAACCUAUGGAUAAUUUCAAUCAAUCUUGAUGAACAAGAUUGUUAUCACCCACACAAUGACAAUAAAAGAAAAGAACAAUGGAGAAAGAAAGAGUGUAAAGAACGAUGAAGGAGAAAAGUAAUAUAAAAUUCUGCAGAGUUUCUCUCUGCCCACAAACUGUGGAAAACUUCUUCUUCACUUUGCAACUGCAAAAUACUGUGAGUUACAAUGUUAUGAAUGAGCUCUUCACUUCAUUACAAAAAUAAGGGUUACUCCCUUUAUUUAUAGAUUUAGGUUAACUUGGACCUCAAGCCAAAGCCCAAAACUAUAAAAGUCCAAAAUAGGUAACACUACUAAAAUAAGCAUAGGUGGUUUGACACUUCCUUACUCUGUCGAGCAACCUGCUUUGACACAAGGAAUUAUAAUUCGACAUUUAUGCGGGUAGAUAAGCUGAGGUGAUUCAUGAGCCAAUCUGAAUGCAGCAUAUGUGGAUUGUGUUUGGUCAUUUGUAUGAAUUUAACUUCUCCCUGAGUGUUUAUAAAAGUUUAUGUUUGUAAGUUGUCACACACUUAUUUUCAUAAUUUCUUUUUGAUAACUCAUAUUUGCAGUUUAUACCAUAUUUACUAGCUGAUACAACUUAUGAGAUAUUCAUAAUGAAGUAGCUUCAACUUAUGAGAUAUUUACUAAGUUCGCGGGGGAUACUGAAGAAUCCACCGUCGAACAUGUGGAGAGGUACCAGACCGAGGCUGGGGACAUAGCAAACAACGAGGACUUGAAGUUGAAAUACUUCCCAAGUUCUCUCACGAAAAAUUUGUUUACCUGGUUCACAACGCUACCUCCACAGUCGAUUCAAACAUGGACACAAUUGGAAUGGUUGUUCCCUGAACAAUUUUACAUGGGCCAAUCAAAGAUCAACCAUAAAGAACUAGCUAGCGUUAAGCGAAAGGUCGCUGAGUCAAUUGAUCAGUACCUGAACAGGUUUAGACUAAGGCGCCAUGCUUUACUCAAGUCCCUGAACACGAACUAGUCGAAAUGGUGGCUGGGGGUCUAGAUUAUUCUAUAAGGAAGAAGUUGGAUACACAAUAUCUUAGGGAUAUGGCCCAAUUGGACGAUAGGGUUCAACGUAUCGAACGCUUGAAAGCCGAAAAGUCUAAGGCAGAUCGAUAUCAUAAAAAAGAGAAAAUAUCCUACAUCGCGGUCGAAGGAGGCUCUUCCGAUGACGAAGAUAUAGUCGACAGGAGUGAGGUCAACAUGGUCAAACUUAAGCCCGGACCUCCAUAUACGUGAAAGGUUUUGAAACCAUCGAAUGUGGAAAACCCUGUCGAACCAGAGAGAACAGACAAAUACAUCGCUAAGACAUAUACGUUCGACGUGUCUAAAUGCGACGAGAUCUUUGAUCUAUUGGUAAAAGACGGACAUAUUAUCGUCCCUCAGAGUUUAAAAGACCCUUCUCUAGAAUAGAAAAAGAAAAGGGGAUUUUGUAAAUUUCAUAAUUUCCUUGGUCACAAAACUCACCAAUGUGUUCUUUUUAGGGAUUUGGUGCAGGAAGCUCUGAAAGAAGGAAGGCUCCAGUUUGGCGAAAGGCCAAAAAUGCAGGUGGAUUCUGACCCUUUGAAGGUGGAAGAAGCAUUGUAUGUUAAGCCUAUAGAAUGCAUGAUGGUGGAGACUACUGAUGGUCUCAUUGAGGUUCUCAAAGCAACCUUGUUAGCUGAAUCAUUUGAAGUAAUGAUGGUCGAAACUACUAAAGGUUUCGGAGUCAAUGAUGAAAGGAGGCCCGAGUCGGCCUAUCCCCAGCUUCGCGAAAGUUUGCCUGACUUCCAAGAGAAGUGCAAGGAGAAGGGAUCAAAGGCUCUGUUAUGCCCGAAGUGCAACGCGGAAUUCGACGAGAAAACCGUUGAAAGGCUGGAGGCCGACAACAAGGCCGAGAAGGAGGAAAAGCCUGUUGUCCCACAAUUCGUGUUCGACAGGCACAGAGCACCUCGACAGAACAAAGAGUACAAGAGACAAUUUCAACAUCCCCGUUGUAAGACCCUAAUUUUGACCCUAAGAUCCCUCAUGGCAUCAUAGCAUUGCACUUGCAUAGCCUCAAAGAUCAUAAGCAUCUUGGUUCCCUUUGCCUUUGGGUGGGACCUCUUGUGGGUUGGUUUGAGAUCACCAAGUAUGCUUGAAUUGUAUAUAAUUUCUUUCUCAUUUUUUAUUCACUAACCAAAAGCACAAAAAAAAAAA
rnacentral:lncRNA from 1 species